AAAAAAGAAAAAUCUAAGCUAGAGGGCUUAUACUUUUUUAUUACAAUAUUAUUUUUAUGUAAUACUAUAAAAUAAAUUGAUAUAAUAAAUGAGGUUGAGCCAUCCAGUACGUAUUAGGAUUUGUUCAAAAUUAUUGGACCGUUUUUUCAAAAAAAAAAAAUCAUUUGAAUGUUACCUCCAACACUUCGUUGAUUUAAACCGAUUUAGAGUUAGCUUUGAUAAUAAACAAGUAACCAUUUCAUAAAAAACAUAGAUUUUAAAACUUGUUAAACAUAUGGUAAAAUGUGUGAAAACUUGUUAAGAAUAUAGAAAAUAUGCAGGAGAAAAUACAAUUUUGAUCUCUAUAUUUUAGAAUUACAGUCAAUUUGAUAUCUAUAUUUUGGUAACAGUCAAUUUAGUUCAUGUUAUUUUCAAUUUACAAUCAAUUUGCUUUUUACCAUUAAUUCACUAAUAGAAAAUACGUUUGUAGUAAACAGAUUGCAUAAUUAGCAUAGUUGAAGUUAAGUGGUACAGCCAUAUCAACUAAAAAUCCUUUAUAUUUUGUACUCUGUUAGAAGUAUGUGAUUCAAUGAGUCAAUUUACCAUAUCACAAUAGUUUAAACUUUUGAGACAAUUGGUAAUUUAACAUGCAAAUUGAAAAAGAAGUGAUCUUAUUUAUUAUAGGCGAAAAAAAUAUUUUGGUCCCUACCUUUUGAGAGCAGUCAAUUUGGUCCAUAUUAUUUUCUACUUGCAGUCAAUUUGAUCCAUAUCGUUAACUCACUAACAAAAAAUGCAUAAAUGACAAACCAUUUGCAUUGUUGGCAUGAAUAAUAUUAAUAAAUUAAAUGAGAUGAUUACUUGUGUAAAUUAUAGUGACCAUAUCAAUGCUUAGAUGGCAAUAUAAGUCACACCAGUUAAAAAAAAAAAAAGCCCUUCUUUUCUUUACCAAUUUUUUUCCUUUCGUUAUUUUUUCUUUUAAUUUUCUAAUAAUUCCUUUAACAUUUCAAAAAUUCAUUUUAUUUUUUGUUCUACUCUGUUCUUUAGUUCUUCUUCCCAAACCCAAAAUCUACAAGAGGAUAACUAUGAGUUCUGUAGGGAUAACAGGCCCAAAAGUGUAUAUUGGGUCGUGGAUCUUGUUCGAGGACACUUAAUAGUCCGAAGACAGGUAAACGUUAUCGUGGAAGUGCACAUUAGUGAACAAAGAAAGAGGUCUAGUCAAGAGGGUUCAGGAAGGAGGUGUAACAUCCCAGUCAGUUAGACAAAAAAAAAAAAAAAAAAAAAAAAAGAGAUCAGAUUUUUUUAAGUUCCCACGUGCCCCCCACUCCCCACCACUCAUUUCAAUCUAUCUCACCCUCUCAUGUCCGGCCAUAUCUCUCAUUUGUUUCUUUUUCUUUUCUUUUCACUUAAACACACUCCCCUCUAUCACUCUCAUCCUCUCCACUGGUACUUCCACACCACCACCACCAUUUCCACCAUCAUUCUCCGGCAAGAUCACCGGAAAAUUCUUGAGAACCCAUAAGCACCUUCACAUUCUUUUUUUGAGGUAAAAAUUUCUAAUCUUUUUGGUUCUAGCUAAUUUCCUUGGAGUUUGGAGAAUUAGGCUUUUGCGGUUGCGAGGUAAGUAGCUUUUUAAUGAGAUUUUUGAAAAAUAAACAUGUUGCAUAAAUGAUGUUUUUGGGUUAGACACACUUUUGGAAACUACCUAUGGAAAUUAUAUUUUCCUAAAACUAUUGUGUCAUAACCUUAAUAUAUGUAUGAUUAUAUAUGAAAAUGCAUCAUAUUUGGUAUUGCAUUUGGGAAAAUGCAUGAAUUGUUGAUAUAAAAAAAUGAGCAUCUUUUAUUUAAUCUUUGAUAAGGAAAUCAUGGAUUUUAUGGUAUAUUAUAAAAUUUGAAUAUGCUUAUCUUGUCUUAUUAUACGGGAAAUUGAUAGAAAAUCUCUUGACAAGAAUGAAGUUGAAAACCUUACAAAUUUUAUGAAAGUUGGAUUAUUUAAGAUUUUUCUAAAAUUACCUAGACAUAAACUAUGUGUUUCAAAGUAUAUGUAACCUAUGAGUUUUAUGUGGUUUUAACACCAUGCCAUGUGUGAUUUCCCGAUGAUCACCUGAUUUGGUUUCCAUUGUCUUUAUGAUAAUGGAAUCAAAUCUAGGUCAGUGCCCUUUCACUUUGGAUGACGCGUUCUUCCUUGUUGCCCAUGGGGGGAAGAGGUUCCUUAAUUAUGUGUGGGUGAGGCUGCUGCCCAUGGGGCCAAGAAACCACAUGCAAAAGAGGUCCUAUUUGACGCGCACUCUCUCUACUGCCCAUAGGGGAAGAGAAAAACCUUGAAGGUAUGGGUAAGGUUACUGUCCAUGGGGUCAAGAGUCUACAUACCAAAGAUGACAAUAUCAUGCCAGUUGUGAAUGAGUGGAUCCCUUAACAGGUCUAUGUGGUAGUGUGGUAUAUUUAUGAUAAUUUACCAUAUGUUAGAUAUUAUGGCUUUGGAAAUUAUAGUGUUGGUGCUCACAGAUUAUAAUAUAUAGUUUCAAGGUAUUUACUUUAAGAAACUUUGUAUUUUAUUAUUCAAUCAAUCUUGUCAUAUCAUAUUACUAUUAUUGAAAAUGGAACUUGCAUUUCCCCCACCCUCAUUAAUUAUGCUACUUACUGGGCUCUGUCUCAUUCCAUUAUUUUAUAAAUUUUUUCAGAGUAGGUAACAAUCUUUUGAGACAGCUUUUUGGUGGCUAACAAUAGUUAGACUAACUACUGAUGAAGGCUAAACCUUUGUAAUGGAGAUAUUAGAUGAUGUACACCUUAGAAUAGGCUUGACUCAUUCUUUUGUAUAUUAUAGUGGUUGUGACUUUAUUCCCACUGAUAGGACAAGCUGAUGAUAUGUAAUUAUUUAUUCAGACCUCUAUUCUUUUAUAGCCAAUGGUCCUUAUAAUUAUUGCUUAGAGGUCUGACUUACUUUGAGAGUAUAUUCAAUAGAAUUAUUAUGAUAAUUUUUGAUGUUGGUACUUGAUAUGAUUUUUGUGGAUUGGAUUGUCAAAAAGGAAAAAUCUACAGGUACUUUGAAACGUCUUUCUCAUGUUUUGGACCCUUUGGGGUUUGGGGUGUGACAGGAGGUCCGAGGACGAAUGCCACCUCGGCUUAAUAGAGCCGAGGUUAGAAGGUUAGACCUGCCAUCAAAAGCAACGUUCUAGGUGGUUCUACUGGUAAGGAUAAGCAUCAGGAAGGGAUAAGGAAAUGGGAAAGUAAGAAAUAUCUAAGGGAAAACUGUUGUCACCGCAUUGAAUGCUCUGUAGUUAACUCUCUGGCCGCAUUAAUGUGGAGGUGAUACCUGAACAGUGAUAUUCAGCCUUACAGCUACCUCUAAAAACUUCAGGAAUAUGCUAAUGGGACAAGGAUAAAAGUUAGCCAUCUGAUCAACACUUAGAUGGUUGAGAUGGAGUGAAGAAGGGUAAUAUAAAGAAGAAAAAUCCCAUUGUAGAAAGGAUUGGAGAAUUGAUAGUAAAAAAUAUUGUAGCACUAAGAGUUAUAGUUGUAAUCAAGUCAAAAAGCAAUAUAUUCAAGAACUACUCUUCUCGGACUUUGCCAAGGAAGAAUUUCUUUGCAAAAACUUGUUUUUCUUUGUCUUUUCCUUGCUUUCGUACUAUCUUUAGUCCAUUGUGAACGUUGUCCAAUUCAUUGAAACCUAGUUUUUAGCCCAUGUUCUACAAAUUCUUUGUAUUGGGCUCUUUGGGCCUUAAUCCUUUUACCUUUUCUAGGAUCCAAAACCUACCCUUACAAUUGGCACUGUCUAUAGGAAACUUGAGCUUUGGUGAGUUCAAAGUCCAACUAUGGUGGGUUCAUGGCUAAACCGGGAGGAGUCUAUUGGUUCCCGACGCCAAGACCAGUUCCUCAAUCUUGAGCGAAUAAGGGACUGGGAGGUUAGCAUGCAUACCACACAUACUAAUAGGAGUCAGUCUCGAAGUAGGAGUCACCUCUCCCAUGAAGAGAAUACUAGAAGAAUGCAGUUGGAGAUUGACCAACUACAGAGGAGGCCACGUCGCGAGCGAUGAAGAAAGACUCCUUCAAGGCUUUAAUUCUUCUUCUGAUGAAGAUAGGGAUGGUAGCAACAGGCCUAGGUCAAGGACCCCUCCUAGUGAGUCUUUUUCAUAUAGUGAGGAUCACCAUUAUAAGCGUAGAGGUAAGAGUCCACCCCGCAAAGGUCUGGGCAACGAUGCUAUGAGCAAGGCCCUUAACCAAAUUUCCAAAUCGCCUUUUACACGCAGAGUUGAAGGAGGAAAACUUCCUCGGCGGUUCACUUAGCCAACAUUCACCAUGCACAAUGAUCAAAUAGACCUUGUGGAGCAUGUAAGCCACUUCAACCAGAGAAUGGUUGUUCACUAUAAGAAUGAGGUCUUGAUAUGCAAAGUGUUCUCAUCUAGUUUAGGGCCUGUAACGAUGAAAUAGUUUGAUGGCCUGGGUGAAGGCUCUAUUAAUUCCUUUAAAGAGCUUACUCAGGCAUUUGGAUCUCGUUUCGUUACUUGCAGCAGAGUUCCUCGGCCCUUGGACUCUUUGUUGUCCAUGAUCUUGCAAGAGGGGAAGACCCUGAAAACAUACUCUGACAGAUACUAAAAGAUAUUCAAUGAGAUUGAUGGGAAUUUCGAUGAUGUGGCCAUAAGGACUUUCAAGGUCGGCCUACCCACCGAGCAUGAUUUGAAAAAGUCUUUGACAAGGAAGCCUAUUAGGAGUGUGCGUUAGCUCCUAAAUCAUAUUGACAAGUAUAGGUGGGUCGAGGAGGAUCAACAUCAAGGAAAAGGAAAAGCUAAGAUGGUCCCCCAGGACAGGAGGGAUUUUAGGUCGGAUAGGUACAAUAACAACCGACCUUGGAAAGAUUUUGCUUGGCAUUCAGCUCAACUACUACUCAAGUGGUUAGCACUGUAUUCCGAGAACCAGUGUACCAGAUUUUAGAAAAAAUUAAGAACAAGCCAUACUUUAGGUGGCUAAAUAAGAUGGGGGAGACCCCACGAAAUGCAACCAGAGCCUUCAUUACCAAUACCACCAGGAACAAGGGCACACUACUGAAGAUUACAAGACUCUGUGGAGUCAUCUAGAGUGAUUGGUUAAGAUGGGGAAGUUGAAACAGUUCCUAUAUCAGCCCAAUGGGCAGGGUGGUCAAGCAAGCUUAGGAGCUCAGAGAGAUGCUUCUACAAAACCACCUUUAGGUACAAUUAAUGUCAUUCUUGCUACUCUAGGAAUAACUAGUUCUCAGCCAUCCAGUUUGAUGUCUAUAGCUCGACCAUUUACAAAAGACUUGCCCCCUGAUUCAAAGAGGAAUAGAAUGGAGGUCCAACCAGCUUUGAGCUUUUCUGAUGAGGACAAAGUUGGAACCUUGCAGUUACAUGAUGAUGCCCCAGUAGUUACUCUUAGGAUAGGAGGGUAUGACGUGAAAAGGAUGCUGGUAGAUCAGGGCAGUGGUACAGAUAUCAUGUACCCUGACCUAUUUAAGGGGCUAAAGCUGAGGCCCGAGAACCUAACCUGCUAUAACUCUCCUCUGAUAGGGUUUGAUGGGAAGAUUGUCUUUUCGAAGGGCCAAUCUAUGGCUAGGCAGUGCUUGGUGCCUACAAUCAGAUAUCAGGCUAGAGGCGAGUCCUCAGCUUUUGCCGAGUAAGGCUUAUGGCAAUCAAGGGUACCAGUGUGGUCUGCGGAUGUGGUGGUAGAAGAGGCAAGUUGUGAGGAGUUAGAGAAGGUUAUUAUUGGUGACGAUGAGGGCAAGUUCUUCCAGGAUGGAGUUCAGUUGCCUCCACAAGAGAAAGAAGAGCUGAUUGGAUUUCUUGGGAGAAACAUUGAUGUGUUUGUGUGAAGUACUUAUGAAGCUCCUAGGGUGGACCCAAAUUUCAUUUGCCAUCAUCUAAACGCCAAUCCAUCUGUCAUCCCCAAAAAGCAACCACCCUGGCGCUCAUCUAAAGAACAUUCUAAUGCCAUCAAGGGAGAGAUAGUCAAGCUUAAGUGGGUCAAGGCCAUUAAAGAGGUGUUUUAUCCUGAGUGGUUGGUUAAUACAGUGGUGGUGAAGAAGAAGAAGAGUGGGAAAUGGCGAAUAUGUGUAGACUUCACAGAUUUGAACAAAACCUGCCCUUACAAGUUCUAACCUCAAUCUCUCCACUGCUACCACUAUCCUUGAUUUCUUUGCAGAUUAAACACCAACGAAGUUACAAAAAUAGGCUUCACCUAAAGAUAAAUCAGCAUUAUCAUUUACAAUAAGUUAGAGAAUCAAACUUUUGAAUCAACUAUUUUAAAUAUCUGAACCUUUUUCAAAACAAUUGUUUAAUAAGAUCACAAUCAUCUACUUCUCCGUAUACACAUGAACCCACCUAAUGAUACCAAGAGAAUGAAAGGAAAUGAGAGUGAGCCCCAAAUCCCAAUCCCACCCACAUUUCAUACUUCAAUAUAAUUUCUCAAUCUCAUACAUACAAGUCUCAAUCUCCCUCCAUAAUUAAAAAAGAGAUAGAAAUAGAUUUUGGAAAUGUCAUAGUCUUUGAUUUAUUUGUAGUGCAUGAGCUUGAAGUUUUUGAAUUUUGAUAGCAAUGAUCUUGUGGAGUUGCAGAUGUUGGGUUUGGGGAACAAUCAAAGAAUAGUGAAGAACAAAAAAUAAAAUGAAUUUCAUUUAACAUUAAAUCCGUACCAGACCUUGUAUAAUACAAAAAGAUGAGAAACUUACACAUUUAAGCCCCAUAACAUCCCACAUCAGUCCAUCUAAAGUCCUAGAAAGCUCGAUCUUGCCAAGGCCUCUAUAACACCCCGGUUGUUAAUUGUAAUUUGGAAGAAGCUUGAUGGGCAAAUUGGUCAUUUUUCUUGCAAGAUAUUUUAGGGACAAGCUUGGAAAUAGGUUUCAUCCCCUUAAUAUAAAAUGAAUUUCAUUUAACAUUAAAUCUGUACCAGACCUUGUAUAAUACAAAAAGAUGAGAAAUUUACACAUUUAAACCCCAUAACAUCCCACAUCAAUCCAUCUAAAGCCCUAGAAAGCUCGAUCUUGCCAAGGCCUCUUUAACACCCCUAUUGUUAAUUGUAAUUUGGAAGAAGCUUGAUGGGCAGAUUGGUAAUUUUUCUUGCAAGAUAUUUGAGGGACAAGCUUGGAAAUAGGCUUCAUCCCCUUAAGUCACCCCCCCCCCACUUUCACAUUCACGUCUCUCUCUAUCUCUCUCUCUCUUGAGCUACCACCCCUCUCCCUUUCUCUCACUUGAAUCCCUCUCUCUCUCUCUCCAUGGUCUUCCACUAAAAAUACUUCAGCCAUGAGGUUCUUUUCAAGCCAUCACCACUUGUGAAGAAAAGAUUUUUGGGAAGAGAAGGACCCAUUCGGCCAAGCAAGGAAUUUAAGGUUCCAAGAUUUUUGAUGAUGGACCUAGUGAUGGGAUUGGUUGAUUUCAUGGUGCCCAAUUGAGGUAAAAUUGGCUGGUCUUCCGAGGUAAAUAGCUUUUUAUUGGGAUUUUUGAAAAAUAACCGUAUUGCAUAAAACAUUGUUUUUAGGUUAAACACGUUUUGGGAAAUUGUUUUUGGAAACUAUAUUUUUCCUAAAAAGUGUCGUGUUGUAACCUUAACUAAUAUGAUUAUUUAUGAGAAGUGCAUCAUAUUUGUUAUUGCAUAUGAGGAAAUGCAUGAUUUGUUAGCAUGGAAAGAACAAGCAUCUUUGAUUAAAUUCUUGGUAAUGGAUUUUAUGGAUUUAUUGCAUUAUUUGCAAAAUUUAAAGAUGCUUUCAUCUUGACUUGUGAUAUUUGGGAAAAUUGAUGCAAAAUAUUUUGACAAGAAACGGUUUUGAGGAAUUUGAGAAUAUUGUGGAUAUUUGGUUAUCAAAAUAUCUUAUGAAACUACUUGGAAGUAAACUAUAUAUUUUGAAUACAUUUAACUUGUGAGCUUUUGAUGUAGGUUUGCCCUUGUGCUAUGAUGUUGGUGAUUACCUCGUCUUUGUGACAACGUCUUUGUGAUGUGUGAUUACCCCAUCGUUGUGACAACAAGUCAAGUUAGAGCCUUUCACUUUGCAUGACACAGGUAAAUUCUUGAGUGUGUGGGUGAGGCUGCUGCCCAUAGGGCCAAAAGACCCCAUGCAAAAGGGGUACUGUGUAACGCGUCAUUCCCUGCUACCCAUGGGGGGAAGAGGUAAAUCCUUGAGUGUGUGAAUGAGACUAGGCAGGGCCAAGAGACCACAUGCAAAAGAGGUACUACAUGGCGCAUUAUCCCCUGCUGCCUAUGGUGGGGAUAGGUAAAUCCUUAAGGGUGUGUGUGAGGUUAGGUAGGGCUAAUAGACCACAUGUCAAAAGAGGUACAUAACAUCUAAUGGUUUGUGGGUUCUAACUUCUCUAUGGCGGUAUAAUGUCUUUGUGACAUUUUUGUCUUUGUGAUAGCUUGUCAUGUGGCCUUGGGUUGGAUUUUCAGGUUUUAAAAUGAUGUUUUGAUAGCUCACAGUAUAUUAUACAUAGUUUCAUAUUGAGAUAUUUUCAAAAAGCUUUGUACAAUAUAGUUUCAAUCAUUCUUGUCAUUUUACCAACGAGAAUGAAUUUGCUAAAUUUUCAUGGAAAUUCCCAAAUUAUAUAGCAUGUUUUUUAAAAUGUUUAUUAUCAUGAAACUUGCACUUCCCCCACCCCUAUUAAUUAUGCUACUUACUGAGUUUUAACUCAUCCCAUUCUCCAACAGUUUUACAGAUAAAUUAGCUAUACAUCGGACAUGGAGCUUAGUUUAUUGGUGGUGAUUGGAGUACCAUGCUAAGUGGGAGAUUUGUGCUAUAAAUUGUUGGUGACUCAACUUACUAAAUUAUUCGAGGCCAUAACUAAUUCUACUAGAGGUUGGGCUCUUGAGGUUUGUUAGCCUUGGGCAUGAUAGGCGUAGAUUUUCUGUUGAGGUUAUGUAUCUUAGAGAGGAUCGUGACUUUGUGUUUAUUUAUUUGGAGCUUUGGAUUUUCAUGUAUAUUUGGAGACACAUGAUUUGUAGUUUGUAUUGUUUGUAAAUGUGUCAUAGAGCUCUAACUUAUAUUGUGGAGAAAUCAAUAUAUUUAUUUAUUUAUUUAUUUUAUCAAAUGGAAAGAAAAAAAAUC